rnacentral:tRNA from 1 species
GGUCAGGUGCACGUUCACCCUCUAACGCGCGGCCUCGCGUCGCACCGAGUCCCGGCCCCGACGGGACUGAAAAUCCGCGCGUCGGCGGUUCGAUUCCGUCCCUGGCCA